GCGUUAAGUUGCAGGGUAUAGACCCGAAACCCGGUGAUCUAGCCAUGGGCAGGUUGAAGGUUGGGUAACACUAACUGGAGGACCGAACCGACUAAUGUUGAAAAAUUAGCGGAUGACCUGUGGCUGGGGGUGAAAGGCCAAUCAAACCGGGAGAUAGCUGGUUCUCCCCGAAAGCUAUUUAGGUAGCGCCUCGUGAAUUCAUCUCCGGGGGUAGAGCACUGUUUCGGCUAGGGGGCCAUCCCGGCUUACCAACCCGAUGCAAACUGCGAAUACCGGAGAAUGUUAUCACGGGAGACACACGGCGGGUGCUAACGUCCGUCGUGAAGAGGGAAACAACCCAGACCGCCAGCUAAGGUCCCAAAGUCAUGGUUAAGUGGGAAACGAUGUGGGAAGGCCCAGACAGCCAGGAUGUUGGCUUAGAAGCAGCCAUCAUUUAAAGAAAGCGUAAUAGCUCACUGGUCGAGUCGGCCUGCGCGGAAGAUGUAACGGGGCUAAACCAUGCACCGAAGCUGCGGCAGCGACACUGUGUGUUGUUGGGUAGGGGAGCGUUCUGUAAGCCUGUGAAGGUGUGUCGUGAGGCAUGCUGGAGGUAUCAGAAGUGCGAAUGCUGACAUAAGUAACGAUAAAGCGGGUGAAAAGCCCGCUCGCCGGAAGACCAAGGGUUCCUGUCCAACGUUAAUCGGGGCAGGGUGAGUCGACCCCUAAGGCGAGGCCGAAAGGCGUAGUCGAUGGGAAACGGGUUAAUAUUCCCGUACUUGGUGUUACUGCGAAGGGGGGACGGAGAAGGCUAUGUUGGCCGGGCGACGGUUGUCCCGGUUUAAGCGUGUAGGUGUGUGUUCCAGGUAAAUCCGGUUCACUUUAACACUGAGGCGUGACGACGAGGCACUACGGUGCUGAAGCAACAAAUGCCCUGCUUCCAGGAAAAGCCUCUAAGCAUCAGGUAACAUCAAAUCGUACCCCAAACCGACACAGGUGGUCAGGUAGAGAAUACCAAGGCGCUUGAGAGAACUCGGGUGAAGGAACUAGGCAAAAUGGUGCCGUAACUUCGGGAGAAGGCACGCUGACACGUAGGUGAAGUGAUUUACUCAUGGAGCUGAAGUCAGUCGAAGAUACCAGCUGGCUGCAACUGUUUAUUAAAAACACAGCACUGUGCAAACACGAAAGUGGACGUAUACGGUGUGACGCCUGCCCGGUGCCGGAAGGUUAAUUGAUGGGGUCAGCGCAAGCGAAGCUCCUGAUCGAAGCCCCGGUAAACGGCGGCCGUAACUAUAACGGUCCUAAGGUAGCGAAAUUCCUUGUCGGGUAAGUUCCGACCUGCACGAAUGGCGUAAUGAUGGCCAGGCUGUCUCCACCCGAGACUCAGUGAAAUUGAACUCGCUGUGAAGAUGCAGUGUACCCGCGGCAAGACGGAAAGACCCCGUGAACCUUUACUAUAGCUUGACACUGAACAUUGAGCCUUGAUGUGUAGGAUAGGUGGGAGGCUUUGAAGUGUGGACGCCAGUCUGCAUGGAGCCGACCUUGAAAUACCACCCUUUAAUGUUUGAUGUUCUAACGUGGACCCGUUACCCGGGUUGCGGACAGUGUCUGGUGGGUAGUUUGACUGGGGCGGUCUCCUCCUAAAGAGUAACGGAGGAGCACGAAGGUUGGCUAAUCCUGGUCGGACAUCAGGAGGUUAGUGCAAUGGCAUAAGCCAGCUUGACUGCGAGCGUGACGGCGCGAGCAGGUGCGAAAGCAGGUCAUAGUGAUCCGGUGGUUCUGAAUGGAAGGGCCAUCGCUCAACGGAUAAAAGGUACUCCGGGGAUAACAGGCUGAUACCGCCCAAGAGUUCAUAUCGACGGCGGUGUUUGGCACCUCGAUGUCGGCUCAUCACAUCCUGGGGCUGAAGUAGGUCCCAAGGGUAUGGCUGUUCGCCAUUUAAAGUGGUACGCGAGCUGGGUUUAGAACGUCGUGAGACAGUUCGGUCCCUAUCUGCCGUGGGCGCUGGAGAACUGAGGGGGGCUGCUCCUAGUACGAGAGGACCGGAGUGGACGCAUCACUGGUGUUCGGGUUGUCAUGCCAAUGGCACUGCCCGGUAGCUAAAUGCGGAAGAGAUAAGUGCUGAAAGCAUCUAAGCACGAAACUUGCCCCGAGAUGAGUUCU
rnacentral:rRNA from 1 species